rnacentral:rRNA from 1 species
CAGUAGCCGCGGUAAUACGGAGGGUGCAAGCGUUAAUCGGAAUUACUGGGCGUAAAGCGCACGCAGGCGGUUUGUUAAGUCGGAUGUGAAAUCCCCGGGCUCAACCUGGGAACUGCAUUUGAAACUGGCAAGCUAGAGUCUCGUAGAGGGGGGUAGAAUUCCAGGUGUAGCGGUGAAAUGCGUAGAGAUCUGGAGGAAUACCGGUGGCGAAGGCGGCCCCCUGGACGAAGACUGACGCUCAGGUGCGAAAGCGUGGGGAGCAAACAGGAUUAGAUACCCCGGUAGUCCCUGUCUCUUAUAC